AGUGAACGCUGGCGGUAGGCCUAACACAUGCAAGUCGAACGGCAGCACAGUAAGAGCUUGCUCUUACGGGUGGCGAGUGGCGGACGGGUGAGGAAUACAUCGGAAUCUACUUUUUCGUGGGGGAUAACGUAGGGAAACUUACGCUAAUACCGCAUACGACCUACGGGUGAAAGCAGGGGAUCUUCGGACCUUGCGCGAUUGAAUGAGCCGAUGUCGGAUUAGCUAGUUGGCGGGGUAAAGGCCCACCAAGGCGACGAUCCGUAGCUGGUCUGAGAGGAUGAUCAGCCACACUGGAACUGAGACACGGUCCAGACUCCUACGGGAGGCAGCAGUGGGGAAUAUUGGACAAAGGGCGCAAGCCUGAUCCAGCCAUACCGCGUGGGUGAAGAAGGCCUUCUGGUUGUAAAGCCCUUUUGUUGGGAAAGAAAAGCAGCAGGUUAAUACCCCGCUGUUCUGACGGUACCCAAAGAAUAAGCACCGGCUAACUUCGUG
rnacentral:rRNA from 1 species